AAAAAAAAAAGAAAAAAAAUAAAACUCAACAAAGCCUUAAUGCCUACUUAGGACUCCAUGAUCUAUUUCCUACCAUUGAGCUUUUGCAAGUAGCUACUGGCAAUUGUUAUUAAAUGAGAAACAGUAGAUAAAAUGUUAGAUGUGUGGAAAUGAAGACAUGAUUGAAAAAUUAAUUGAAAUGUGUGAUUAUAUGAACUAAGACAAGUGAGGGAAAGGUAUACUUGCCAAUUCUAACCAAUUUUGUUCUGAAGCUUCAUUGAGUUUGUUAUAUGCACGAUAACAAUAUGGCUACUCUUAGGAUAUUUUUAACCAAUGGCUAUAAGUUUAUAACAGCUUUUGGCAAUGAUACAAUAUUACAUAACUUGUCUAGAUUACAUUAUAGUUUUCUUAUCCUUGAAGGAAAAAGAAAAAGAAAAGAAA
rnacentral:misc_RNA from 1 species